AGCUGGCGCCUCCCAAAAGCUGUCUGAGAGGAACUGUAUAGAAAUUGUUAUGAAGCUCAUAGAGUUGAAGAUGAUAGAUGUUAUCUAUACUACGGAUGGAAAGGAGUAUCUCACUCACAGCCAACUUUUGAAAGAGG